rnacentral:tmRNA from 1 species
GGGCUUGACUGGUUUUGACAGCGGGCAGGAGUGAUUCGCAAGCAUGCAGUGCGUCGUUGUCCGGCACUAUAAUAUCGGGUGACAGAAGUUAAUUGGCGAAAAUAAUUACGCUCUCGCGGCUUGAUCGAAGUAUAGUAGAUCAGCUUAAUUCCCGUACAGGUUACGGGGACGAGACAUCACCCGGCGCCGUUGUUCCGAGGCUAACUGAUAAGGUGGUGCUAUUGUAUCGGAGACCGUCCGUUAGCGUUCCCUGCGAGCGGAUUAAAAUUUGAAGGGAAUAGAUUUGACGUAGGUAGCCUUGGUCCGGCGUCAGGUUGAAUUUCAAGCGAGGCUAAGCAUGUAGAAACCGUAUUAGUUCCCCGUUUGGACGAGGGUUCGAUUCCCUCCAGGUCCACGA